UUCCUCUUCCGGUAGAAGGCGGCGCUCUCCUCCGCCUCCGCCUCCUCCUUGAGCUGCGCCGCCGCCGGACGGGAGACGACCAAGGAUGUCGCCCACCUCGCGUUGUUCCUUGUUCUCUUGCACCCUUCUACCUGGACAACCUCGCUGUUCUGGCUGACGAGAUUGGGGGCUUGCUGGAUACAAGCGUGCACACACUGCCCUCGGGGCUACUGGUGCAGGCGUUGAUACUGCUUGUCAACUAGAAGACCUACGCAGACACUGUUGGUGCGUCCAAAUGGCAUACACUAUCGCAGAGAAGGAUGCCGCAAAGGCUCCAAAACCAGCAGAUGGUGAAGAUGCAUAUGUGAAGAAGCUCUUCCUUAAGGGAACGGCAUAUUAUCUUUAUGUCCACAGUCUGUUUAUUCUAGAUCUGAUGGUAGGGUGCUGACAUUGGAGGAACAAGCAAGCGAAUUGGGAACAAAUGAGGAAGUCGGACAAGUAAGAUGGAAGCCGGUUAGAUGAACCAUGUUAGAUGAACCUUGUUGUGUAUUUUAUCUAAUGGUUUCAAACCAUGUUGGUUCAUGAUGUGGAGAUGGACAUUGUUGGUCAUGGAAGUUAGAUGCCUGGAUUGUGAAUCCUUGAAUGUUUCAAAAGGAUUGUGAAUCCUUGAAUGUUUCAAAAUGUUGGUUUCAAACCUAGAUUGCUUGGAAAUAUUGGUUUUAAACA